ensembl:misc_RNA Y_RNA Y RNA
GACUGGUCUGAAGGUAGUGAGGUAUCUCAGUUGAUUGUUCACAGUCAGUUACAGACUGAUCUCGUCAUUUUCUCUUUCCCCCCUUCCUACUACUGCACUUGACUAGUCUUUU